AGAGUUUGAUCCUGGCUCAGAGUGAACGCUGGCGGCAGGCCUAACACAUGCAAAUCGAACGGCAGCACAGCAGUAGCAAUACUGUGGGUGGCGAGCGGCGGACGGGUGAGGAACACAUCGGAAUCUACCUUGUCGUGGGGGAUAACGUAGGGAAACUUACGCUAAUACCGCAUACGACCUACGGGUGAAAGCGGCGGACCGCAAGGCGUCGCGCGAUUGGAUGAGCCGAUGUCCGAUUAGCUAGUUGGCGGGGUAAAGGCCCACCAAGGCGACGAUCGGUAGCUGGUCUGAGAGGACGACCAGCCACACUGGAACUGAGACACGGUCCAGACUCCUACGGGAGGCAGCAGUGGGGAAUAUUGGACAAUGGGCGCAAGCCUGAUCCAGCCAUGCCGCGUGGGUGAAGAAGGCCUUCGGGUUGUAAAGCCCUUUUGUCCGGAAAGAAAAGCAUUCGGUUAAUACCCGGGUGUGAUGACGGUACCGGAAGAAUAAGCACCGGCUAACUUCGUGCCAGCAGCCGCGGUAAUACGAAGGGUGCAAGCGUUACUCGGAAUUACUGGGCGUAAAGCGUGCGUAGGUGGUUCGUUAAGUCUGUCGUGAAAUCCCCGGGCUCAACCUGGGAAUGGCGAUGGAUACUGGCGGGCUAGAGUGCGGUAGAGGAGAGUGGAAUUCCCGGUGUAGCAGUGAAAUGCGUAGAGAUCGGGAGGAACAUCAGUUGCGAAGGCGGCUCUCUGGACCAGCACUGACACUGAGGCACGAAAGCGUGGGGAGCAAACAGGAUUAGAUACCCUGGUAGUCCACGCCCUAAACGAUGCGAACUGGACGUUGGAUGCAACUAGGCAUUCAGUGUCGAAGCUAACGCGUUAAGUUCGCCGCCUGGGGAGUACGGUCGCAAGACUGAAACUCAAAGGAAUUGACGG
rnacentral:rRNA from 1 species